rnacentral:rRNA from 1 species
CCGACGGUGAGGGGUGAAAGCUGGGGGAGCAAACCGGAUUAGAUACCCGGGUAGUCCCAGCCGUAAACGAUGUGCGUUAGGUGUAUCGGUGACCACGAGUCACCGAGGUGCCGAAGAGAAAUCGUGAAACGUACCGCCUGGGAAGUACGGUCGCAAGGCUGAAACUUAAAGGAAUUGGCGGGGGAGCACCACAACAGGUGGAGCCUGCGGUUUAAUCGGACUCAACGCCGGGAAACUCACCAGAUAAGACAGCUGAAUGAUAGUCGGGCUGAAGACUCUACUUGACUAGCUGAGAGGAGGUGCAUGGCCGUCGUCAGUUCGUACUGUGAAGCAUCCAGUUAAGUCAGGCAACGAGCGAGACCCACGCCAACAGUUGCU